rnacentral:rRNA from 1 species
AGGACGAACGCUGGCGGCGUGCUUAACACAUGCAAGUCGAGCGGUAAGGCCUUUCGGGGUACACGAGCGGCGAACGGGUGAGUAACACGUGGGUGAUCUGCCCUGCACUUCGGGAUAAGCCGUGGGAAACUGGGUCUAAUACCGGAUAUGACCUCCUAUCGCAUGGUGGGUGGUGGAAAGAUUUAUCGGUGCAGGAUGGGCCCGCGGCCUAUCAG